UACGGAGGGAGCUAGCGUUGUUCGGAAAUACUGGGCGUAAAGCGCACGUAGGCGGCGCAGCAAGUCAGGGGUGAAAUCCCCGAGCUCAACUCGGGAACUGCGUCCGAUACUGGCAGGCUUGAAUCCGGGAGAGGGAUGCGGAAUUCCAGGUGUAGCGGUGAAAUGCGUAGAUAUCUGGAGGAACACCGGUGGCGAAGGCGGCAUCCUGGACCGGCAUUGACGCUGAGGCGCGAAAGCCAGGGGAGCAAACGGG
rnacentral:rRNA from 1 species